rnacentral:rRNA from 1 species
GUCUCAAGCGUUGUUCGGAUUCAUUGGGCGUAAAGGGCGCGUAGGCGGCUGGGUAAGUCGGGUGUGAAAUCUCAGGGCUCAACCCUGAAACUGCACUCGAUACUGCUCUGCUUGAGGACUGGAGAGGAGACUGGAAUUCACGGUGUAGCAGUGAAAUGCGUAGAUAUCGUGAGGAAGACCAGUGGCGAAGGCGGGUCUCUGGACAGUUCCUGACGCUGAGGCGCGAAGGCCAGGGGAGCAAACGGG